rnacentral:tRNA from 1 species
GGGUCCGUAGCUCAGUCGGUUAGAGCACCGGCCUCUUAAGCCGGGUGUCGCGGGUUCAAGUCCUGCCGGACCCA